AUUGAACGCUGGCGGCAGGCCUAACACAUGCAAGUCGAACGGUAGCACAGAGAGCUUGCUCUCGGGUGACGAGUGGCGGACGGGUGAGUAAUGUCUGGGAAACUGCCCGAUGGAGGGGGAUAACUACUGGAAACGGUAGCUAAUACCGCAUAACGUCGCAAGACCAAAGUGGGGGACCUUCGGGCCUCACACCAUCGGAUGUGCCCAGAUGGGAUUAGCUAGUAGGUGGGGUAAUGGCUCACCUAGGCGACGAUCCCUAGCUGGUCUGAGAGGAUGACCAGCCACGCUGGAACUGAGACACGGUCCAGACUCCUACGGGAGGCAGCAGUGGGGAAUAUUGCACAAUGGGCGCAAGCCUGAUGCAGCCAUGCCGCGUGUAUGAAGAAGGCCUUCGGGUUGUAAAGUACUUUCAGCGGGGAGGAAGGCGGUGGAGUUAAUAACUUCACCGAUUGACGUUACCCGCAGAAGAAGCACCGGCUAACUCCGUGCCAGCCGCCGCAGUAA
rnacentral:rRNA from 1 species